GCACUUCUGACGAGUCCAAAACCGGACAAAACAGCUGUCCAGUGC
rfam:Echinostoma caproni strain Egypt genome assembly, scaffold: ECPE_scaffold0007089